GUAGGCGGCUCAGCAAGUCGGUCGUGAAAGCCCGAGGCUCAACCUCGGGAUGCCGAUCGAAACUGCUGUGGCUAGGGUCCGGUAGAGGAGAGUGGAAUUCCCGGUGUAGCGGUGAAAUGCGCAGAUAUCGGGAGGAACACCAGUAGCGAAGGCGGCUCUCUGGGCCGGUACCGACGCUGAGGAGCGAAAGCUAGGGGAGCAAACAGGAUUAGAUACCCUGGUAGUCCUAGCCGUAAACGUUGGGCACUAGGUGUGGCGGACUCAUUGACGUCUGCCGUGCCGUAGCUAACGCAUUAAGUGCCCCGCCUGGGGAGUACGGUCGCAAGGCUAAAACUCAAAGGAAUUGACGGGGGCCCGCACAAGCGGCGGAGCAUGCGGCUUAAUUCGAUGUAACCCGAAGAACCUUACCUAGGCUUGACAUCACGGGAAAAACUGUGGAAACACAGUGUGCGUAAGCGUCCGUGACAGGUGGUGCAUGGCUGUCGUCAGCUCGUGUCGUGAGAUGUUGGGUUAAGUCCCGCAACGAGCGCAACCCUUGUCCUAUGUUGCCAGCGGAUUAUGCCGGGGACUCAUAGGAGACUGCCGGGGACAACUCGGAGGAAGGCGGGGACGACGUCAAGUCAUCAUGCCCCUUAUGCCUAGGGCUGCACGCAUGCUACAAUGGCAGGUACAACGGGUUGCGAUCCCGCGAGGGUGAGCUAAUCCUUUAAAGCCUGUCUCAGUUCGGAUUGGAGUCUGCAACUCGACUCCAUGAAGCCGGAGUCGCUAGUAAUCGUGGAUCAGCAAUGCCGCGGUGAAUACGUUCUCGGGCCUUGUACACACCGCCCGUCACAUCACGAAAGUCGGCGACACCCGAAGUCAGUGGCCUAACCCUUUUGGGAGGGAGCUGCCGAAGGUGGGGUCGGCGAUUGGGAUGAAGUCGUAACAAGGUAACC
rnacentral:rRNA from 1 species